AUACCUUUCUCGGCCUUUUGGCUAAGAUCAAGUGUAGUAUCUGUUCUUAUCAGUUUAAUAUCUGAUACGUGGAUCAUUGACCCACAUGAUAUUAAAUUUAUUUUUCUAGGGGGAGGUCCCAUAACAGUAGCUUGCUACUGGGUCCUCGAGCGUCGCCUAUGCGUUGCACUACAGCAUUGGCCUGGCGUACCCCAC
rnacentral:snRNA from 1 species